rnacentral:lncRNA from 10 species
GCUGGAAGGAUCACAUGGAGAGACCACAUAGAGAUACAAAGAUGCCUGAGGAAACCCAGCUGUUCAGCACAGAUGUUUUUUAGUUUUCCCGUUGCCCAGGCAUGCGAGUGAGUGAGCUUUCCAAAGACUUUAACCCCAGCCUUUGAGCUGCCAGAGCUGACAUGAAGUAGAACAGAGAUGAGCUGAGCUUUGCCCCACCUGCAGAUGGAACUUCCCACAUACACCCCUUUUGGCUGAGCUGUAUGGCCAUAAGCGUAGAGACUUGCAGCUGUAUGUGGCCGUGAAUGAGAGACCCAGAGAUGGAAGCUUCACAGCAUUUGUGGCAGUAGCGGCAGAAAUGCAUCACACAUUUGAGUCCCUAGAUGGCCUUGUGGAGAAACGUCUACCUGCCACCCUGGACUAUUAGCUGAAAGAUAAGCGGUGGGUCCUGCUAUCAACUUGUAGUAAAUACCUUCCUUGUUAUGAUAAGGCAUCACACCCUGUUGCAGUCAAAUUCUUAACCACUGCAGUUCCAUCACAGACAUGAAAAAGAUGCAGGCAAGAUAUGGAGUGUCUUCAUGGGGGAGAUUCAGAAGCCAUGGAUGGUGUAGAAAGAAAUAUUCUUCAAACAAAACCUUAUGAGGAACAGAACCAUAGCUCCUGAAACUGUGUGAAAGCAAGAGAAAGAGAGUCUUUUGUCAAUAGUCUGUCCACACAUAUCCAGACCCAACCCAAAGUUACAACCUGACCUCCACGAUCACUUUCCCUCACAGGGACCGCACUAUGAGGAACACGCCAAAGUUGAGAAAGGGUAAGAUUCUUGCCCAACCUCAAGACCAGUGCUAUUCUCUUCACGCCAAGGCAGGAAGAUCACUGAAGCCCAGAAGUUCGAGGCUAAAAUGAGCUAUGAUUGUGCCAACGCACUUCAUCCUAGGCAACAUAGCAAAACCCUAUCUCUAAAAUAUAAACAAGUAAAAUAAAUUUAAAAAUAAUUGUGGCGUGUGGCAAUUAUUGAUAAUGCCUCAUAGCCCCAAAUUCAUCCCUGGUUGCCUUCCCUGUGAAAAUAAAUCUAGGCCCUUCACCUUUAUUUUUUUCUUUUUUGGCUAUCAUGAUGCUAAACUUAUCAGUAGAGGGCAAUACAAAGACAUUUCAAGAAGGCAGAGGCUUCCCUCCUGGUAGUGCACUUUUUCCCCACUGUCUAUUCCACGUGGUUUUCACCAUUGUCAAGGGCUUAGAGGGUACAGCUUUCACAGUGUGUUUUCUACAGUUCUUGACUCAGGAAACAAUGGCAUAGUGGAAGCCCCAGAAAAAUCUGACCUGUGCGCUAGCCCUGUUAACUGCUGCCCACAACCCUGAGUGAUAUGAAUGUAAGGGGUACUGUGGAGCUGAUAAUCAGCAAGCUUGUGGCAUGACCUCCAUCCUGUGUAGCCCAGAGCCACCCUACCCAAGCCACAAAUAGAAAAGCUCUGGGUUUUGAUGCUGACUCUCUAUGGUCCCACUUCUUAGCCUAAGAUCACCUGUGCCCUAGAGAGUUGUACCUACUUCGCCUGGUGACUGUGGACCAGCUCUGCAGGAAGCAAUUUACCAAAUGUCUCUGCGAUCCAGUGGUCAGCAAUUACACCUUCUUCAGUGUGGUCAUAGCCUCUUUCCAAAUUUGUCCUUCCUUAACUACUCUCCCUGUUUUCAUGUUUAUAGUUGUUCUCUUAUCAUUGUUUAAUAAUUUUUAUGUUAAAUUUCCCAUGUUUAAAUUACUAAGUCGAUAUUGUCUCUUGAUUGUACCCAG